rnacentral:lncRNA from 1 species
CAUUUUGUCCUUGAAGAAAACAUGUUAGAAGUUGAUUGCCCUUGUGUAACACCAGAGAUUGUGCUCAAGGCAUCCGGCCAUGUUGAUAAGUUUACUGACCUUAUGGUCAAAGAUGAAAAAUCUGGAACCUGUUACAGAGCAGAUCACCUGCUAAAGGAUUUUUGCAAAGACAAGCUUGAGAAAGAUCCUAAUCUUAGUGUGGAGAAGGCAGAGGAACUAAGGCACGUGCUUGCUGUGUUGGAUGACCUCUCGGCUGAAGAGCUUGGUGCAAAGAUCAAGGAAUAUGGCAUUAUGGCUCCAGAUACAAAGAACCCUCUCUCUAACCCAUAUCCUUUCAAUCUCAUGU